UACAGAGGUCUCAAGCGUUGUUCGGAUUCAUUGGGCGUAAAGGGUGCGUAGGUGGCAGAGUAAGUCGGGUGUGAAAUCCUGGGGCUCAACCCCGGAACUGCACUCGAUACUGCUUUGCUUGAGUACUGGAGAGGAGACUGGAAUUUACGGUGUAGCAGUGAAAUGCGUAGAUAUCGUAAGGAAGACCAGUGGCGAAGGCGAGUCUCUGGACAGUUGCUGACACUGAGGCGCGAAGGCCAGGGGAGCAAACGGG
rnacentral:rRNA from 1 species